rnacentral:rRNA from 1 species
UACGAAGGGGGCUAGCGUUGCUCGGAAUCACUGGGCGUAAAGCGCACGUAGGCGGCUUUUUAAGUCAGGGGUGAAAUCCUGGAGCUCAACUCCAGAACUGCCUUUGAUACUGGGAAGCUUGAGUCCGGAAGAGGUGAGUGGAACUCCGAGUGUAGAGGUGAAAUUCGUAGAUAUUCGCAAGAACACCAGUGGCGAAGGCGGCUCACUGGUCCGGUUCUGACGCUGAGGCGCGAAAGCGUGGGGAGCAAACAGG